rnacentral:rRNA from 1 species
UACGCCCGAUCUCGUCCGAUCUCGGAAGCUAAGCAGGGUCAGGCCUGGUUAGUACUUGGAUGGGAGACCGCCUGGGAAUACCAGGUGCUGUAAGCUUUAUGUUUUACUUCACUAGUGUCCUAACAUUUUAAAUAGCCCACUCUUGGUUGCAGAUUUCGCUUACGGCCAUACCAGCCUG